CUGCUUUACAAAAACUGGUGGCGAACAGCAUCAAAACCACACCUGCAUGAUUGAUAAAGGAGGAGUGACAGUUCUAAAGUCUGCCUUCACACAAUCUUUCUGUCUUUGCUCAGAUUCUGAUGUCAUUUCCUCCACAGAGAUCUACCUACAGUGUUGGCUCUGCUGAAUUUCCACCCAUUUAAUUUCCUCUUCUAAAGACAAAAUGACUCCUUGCAUCACCACCCUGACUUUCUUGAUUAUCUCAGCAGCAGGUGUUUCUGAAUCCGUUCUGAUCACUCAGUGGCCCCAUUACAUUUCUAACCCUUCCAAUGGCUCGGCAAAGAUGCACUGCUACCAGAAUGACACAGACUAUCAAUAUCUGUACUGGUAUAAACAGCCGAGAGGAAAAAGUUUCCAGCUGAUUGUGGCUACUGUAGCUGGAAUUUCACAGUUCGAAGAGGGAUUCAAAUCUGGUUUUCAGGCAGAGAAAAAUGACAAGCAGUGGUCUCUGACAAUAACCAGUAUUCAGGAGAAAGAUGAGGCUCUUUAUCUCUGCGCUGCAAGGCUACACGGUACUGUGGCAGACCUCAGAAGCAUGACAAAAACAUCUGACUCAAACAUAAGUAAUCAACUCAAGGGGGCGGGGGGAAACCACACUGUGGAGAAGAUAACAGCAAUUUUUACCAUCAAGUUUGUUAAGUAAA